CACAGCCGCAGCCUCUUCUUCCUCCCCUGCUUUGUUUCCUCUCCUUCUCUUCCAGCUGCAGCUGCCACUGCCGCAGCUGCCUCCCCUUCUCCUCUUCCUCUCUUCUUCCCUUUUCCUUUCUGUUCUUCUUCAUUUCCUUCUCUUCUUUCCCAGCUGCACUGCUGCAGUCGCAGCCUCAGCCACGGCUGCAGCCACUUCUUCCUCCCCUGCUCAUCUUCCUCUCCUUCUUCUCUUCCAACUGCAGCUGCCAUCGCCGCAGCCGCAGCCCCUUCUUCCCCUUCUCUUCUUCCUCUCCUUCCCUUCUUCCUUCCUCUUCCUCUUUCCCUGCCACAGCUGCAGCUGCCACAGCCACAACCGUAGCUACUUCUUUCCCUUCUCCUCUUCCUUCUCCUUCCAUUCUUCUUCUUCUUCUCUUCUUCUCCUUCCUCCCCUUCUUCUCCCCGACGAACAGCACCUCCUCUCCUCUGUUUCCUCCUGUAGGAAACAGAGGUGUCGCCUCUUCACCCGUUUCUACUUCUUCCCUUCCUCUUCUUCUUCUUCUCCUUCAUCUCCUUCUUCUUCUCCUCUUCUUCCCUUCUCCUACCCGACACCCCACACCUUCUCACUGCAGCCCAUGCUGCAGCCAUCCUUCUUUUUUUUUUCUUUUUCUCUUCUUCUUUUUCCUCUUCUUCUUCUUCUCGUCCCCAACGCCCCACACCACGUCUCCUCUGUUUCCGCCUGUAGGAAACAGAGGUGCUGCAGCCCUAACUGCUGCCACCUCUCGCUCCUUUCCC
rnacentral:lncRNA from 1 species